UCAAUAUACGGAAUUACAUGA
rnacentral:piRNA from 1 species